rnacentral:piRNA from 1 species
UGGGAUGUCAUGGCUUGGGGUUAAUGUGG